rnacentral:lncRNA from 1 species
CAAACAUUUAUUGAGCACCUACUGGUCAGGGCCCUGGAACCACUAGACUCUUAGUCCAGUGCUCUUCAGGACCCUGGAGGACCCUCUGCAAUUUGGCCUGAGACUCCAGCCAGCAGCUGGAAACUCCUUGUCCAGGAGACUGUCCAGGUGAGGAGCUCAGCAGUGAGGAGGGCGGACCCCAUCAGCCCACUUGCCAACCUGCAAUGCCACCACCAUCCUGUGGUCCAGAGACAUAGAAGUGGCAGGAUGGGUCUGGGGUGCAGCACCCAUGGGUGAGGCAGGAUGGGGGUCCAGUCAGCUGUGUCCAUCUUAAGUUUUUUUUUUUUUUUUUGAGAUGGAGUCUCACUCUGUCGCCCAGGCUGGAGUGCAGUGGCACGAUCUCGGCUCACUGCAAGCUCCGCCUCCUGGGUUCAGGCGAUUCUCCUGCCUCAGCUACGAUUACAGGUGUGUGCCACCAUGCCUGGCUAAUUUUUGUAUUUUUUAGUAGAGAUGGGGUUUCACCAUGUUGGCCAGGCUGGUCUUGAACUCCUGACCUCAAGUGAUCGGCCUCUCAGUGCUGGGAUUACAGGCGUGAGCCACCGUGCCGGCCCGUCUUGUUUUUUUUUAAAGAUGGAGUCUCGCUCUGUCGCCCAGGCUGGAGUGCGGUGGCGCAAUCUCAGUUCACUGCAACCUUUGCCUCCCAGGUUCAAGCGAUUCUCCUGCCUCAGCCUCUUGAGUAGCUGGGAUUUCAGGCGCCUGCCACCACACCCGGCUAAUUUAUGUAUUUUAGUAGAGACGGAGGUCUCAUCAUGUUGGCCAGGCUGGUCUUGAACUCCUGGCCUCAAGUGAUCCACCCACCUUGGCCUCCCAAAAUGCUGGGAUUACAGGUGUGAGCCACCGCACCUGGCCCAUCUUAAGUUUUUAAUAAAUAGUUCUUGCUGCUGCCCAGGCUGGUGAGGGUGGGUGGAUCACUUGAGGUCAGGAGUUCGAGUCCAGCCUGGCCAACAUGGCGAAACCCUGUCUCUACUAAAAAAAAAAAUUAGCCGGGUGUGGUGGCAGGCGCCUGUAGUCCCAGCUACUCAGGAGGCUGAGGCAGGAGAAUCGCUUGAACCCGGGAGGCAGAGGUUGCAGUGAGCUGAGACCGCGCCACUGCACUCCAGCCUGGUGACAGAGCAAGACUCAGUC